GGGCAGAUAUCAAAGGUAAAUUAAUAAUUCGUAAUUAGGAAUUACGAAUUACAAAUGUGAUUGUGUCAAUGGUUCUGUCCAUUGUCUACCCU
rnacentral:tRNA from 2 species